AUUGAACGCUGGCGGCAUGCCUUACACAUACAAGUCGAACGGUAACAGGUCUUCGGAUGCUGACGAGUGGCGAACGGGUGAGUAAUACAUCGGAACGUGCCCGAUCGUGGGGGAUAACGAAGCGAAAGCUUUGCUAAUACCGCAUAAGAUCUACGGAUGAAAGCAGGGGACCGCAAGGCCUUGCGCGAACGGAGCGGCCGGUGGCAGAUUAGGUAGUUGGUGGGAUAAAAGCUUACCAAGCCGACGAUCUGUAGCUGGUCUGAGAGGACGACCAGCCACACUGGGACUGAGACACGGCCCAGACUCCUACGGGAGGCAGCAGUGGGGAAUUUUGGACAAUGGGCGAAAGCCUGAUCCAGCCAUGCCGCGUGCAGGAUGAAGGCCUUCGGGUUGUAAACUGCUUUUGUACGGAACGAAAAGACUCUUUCUAAUAAAGAGGGUCCAUGACGGUACCGUAAGAAUAAGCACCGGCUAACUACGUGCCAGCCGCCGCAGUAA
rnacentral:rRNA from 1 species